UGUGCAUAGAAGAAGAUGAAAGGAUUCAAAGAAGCAUACCUACCAUUGGACGCAGCUAGAAGAUUCAACUUGGAGUUAAUUAUCUUGUAUCAUACCUUUCUCUUUUCUUUUAUAUAUACUUUAUUAUAUUAAUAAAAAAUAUUUUUAUUGUAAUUCUCUUAUCUCUUUAUUAUUUUCUCUCAAUUUAUUAUUAUUAUUAUUAUUAUUAUUAUUAUUAUUUGAAAUAAUCAGACUAAGAUUCCUAUGGAUAUGAUUUUGACUCAUCCUAUCCACAUAGUAGUGAAUAGGAUUAAUUUCGGUACUCUAU
rnacentral:lncRNA from 1 species